GUUAAAACUCAUAUUUGAAAUGGUAUUUAAAAAUGGAAGAGAAGUUGAAUACUUUUGACUGGCCCGUUUCUGCUAGCCAAGAACAGUCAGAACAGAUUUCACUCUUCCGAUGUGUUAAAAUCUCACUCCUGUACCUGCCAGCUGUCAUUCUGAACAUUCUACACAUUCUCCCUAAAGUAUAAGAGAAAAAAAAAAGAUCACCUGAAGCUGGUUUUCCUCAUCACUUCAAAAGGUAUUUAAAUAUUUAUCUUGACAAGUUUGUAAUUAAGAAAGUGUGUAUGU
rnacentral:lncRNA from 1 species